rnacentral:rRNA from 1 species
AUACGGAGGGUGCAAGCGUUAAUCGGAAUUACUGGGCGUAAAGCGCGCGUAGGCGGUUUAGUAGGUCGGAUGUGAAAGCCCAGGGCUCAACCUUGGAAUUGCAUUCGAUACUGCUUAACUAGAGUAUGGUAGAGGGAAGUGGAAUUUCCGGUGUAGCGGUGAAAUGCGUAGAUAUCGGAAGGAACACCAGUGGCGAAGGCGACUUCCUGGGCCAAUUCUGACGCUGAGGUGCGAAAGCGUGGGGAGCAAACAGGAUUAGAAACCCCAGUAGUCC